GCUUUGUGCACGGGGUUUAGGAGAAAUCGUCUGCUUUCAGUUUGUCUUACCGGACAAACGAGCAAGUAGUAAACUGCAAGCAGGCUUCAGCGUAUUGAUGUUUUCGGAUAUAGUACAGCUUAUUAUAACCGCUAUAGUAAAACUAUGUCGUCGAACAAAUCGUGAACGGAUGCAUUUGAGUGUUUAAACCAUAGAUGUAUGUGAUUUACACAGCUUUUUUUUCCGGAUGUUUAUUCACAAAGUGUUUUAUUUAUAUUUUUUACUGUUCUUUAUGCUUUUUAACUACCAUUAAACGGAACUCGGCGCUGCUUUAAGAGAAAAAUACAUUCAAUUAUUUCUCUUAAAAGUUCUACGAUGGAGUUUACAGAUGAGGAGAAAAUAUGGCUGCAACAAGUGUCUGCAGAAAUACCUGAAGGAAAUGAGCUUACUCCAAAGGAGAAGAAAUUACAGGAGAAAGCAAAGCCAGACACUGAAAUUCAGGCCCAGCUCUUCCAAACUAUGGCCUCCAUACGAUUUGGAUUGAAUAAUCGAAUAACCUCAACAACAGAGGUGAAAAACUCCGUCCAGCAGAGGAGCAGCGUCUCGUCACAAUGUGGAUAAACAUCAAAUACCAUAAAGACAUGGCAUUUACUUUUUCUUCUUGGUUAUAUAGGUUAUCUGUGAAUGAACUAACCAGAAGCAAAAUGUUCUGUACAGUGAUGUCAAGUGACUUUGGUUCAUCUUUUUCAUGUUCUCACCAGGGUAUUUUGAUGAUUUCUUGGUGUAUGUCAGGUUCAGUUCAUAGCUAGUAAGUACACCAGAGAAUGUAGCGUCAUUGAGUUUUAGUGACCUUAGCUCAUGAUU